rnacentral:rRNA from 1 species
UACGUAGGGGGCAAGCGUUGUCCGGAAUCAUUGGGCGUAAAGAGCGCGUAGGCGGCCCUGUAAGUCCGCUGUGAAAGUCAAGGGCUCAACCCUUGGAUGCCGGUGGAUACUGCAGGGCUAGAGUCCGGAAGAGGCGAGUGGAAUUCCUGGUGUAGCGGUGAAAUGCGCAGAUAUCAAGGAGGAACACCGAUGGCGAAGGCGGCCCACUGGUCCGGUACUGACGCUGAGGUGCGAAAGCGUGGGGAGCAAACAGG